CAAGGAAUUUUCGUCAAUGGGGGCAACCCUGAACGAGCAACGCCGCGUGGGUGAAGAAGUCUUUCGGGAUGUAAAACCCUUUUCUGUGGGAAGAAGGAAAGACGGUACCACAGGAAUAAGCAUCGGCUAACUACGUGCCAGCAGCCGCGGUAAUACGUAGGAUGCAAGCGUUGUCCGGAAUUAUUGGGCGUAAAGGGUGCGCAGGCGGUUUUUCAAGUCAGAUGUGAAAUAUCCCGGCUUAACUGGGAGGGGCCAUUUGAAACUGAAAGACUAGAGUGCAGGAGAGGAUAGCGGAAUUCCCGGUGUAGUGGUGAAAUGCGUAGAUAUCGGGAGGAACACCAGUGGCGAAGGCGGCUAUCUGGCCUGCAACUGACGCUGAGGCACGAAGGCUAGGGGAGCGAACAG
rnacentral:rRNA from 1 species